UACGUAGGGGGCGAGCGUUGUCCGGAGUUACUGGGCGUAAAGCGCACGCAGGCGGUCUGCUAAGUUUGGAGUGACAGUUGGUGGCUUAACUGCCAAAGUGCUUCGAAAACUGACAGACUUGAGGGCUUCAGAGGGACACGGAAUUCCGGGUGGAGUGGUGAAAUGCGUAGAGAUCCGGAGGAACACCAAAGGCGAAGGCAGUGUCCUGGGGAGGUCCUGACGCUGAGGUGCGAAAGCCAGGGGAGCGAACGGG
rnacentral:rRNA from 1 species